rnacentral:rRNA from 1 species
CCUACGGGAGGCAGCAGUGAGGAAUAUUGGUCAAUGGGCGUGAGCCUGAACCAGCCAAGUCGCGUGAAGGAUGACUGCCCUACGGGUUGUAAACUUCUUUUGUCAGGGAGCAAUGGGGUCCACGCGUGGGCUGAGCGAGAGUACCUGAAGAAAAAGCAUCGGCUAACUCCGUGCCAGCAGCCGCGGUAAUACGGAGGAUGCGAGCGUUAUCCGGAUUUAUUGGGUUUAAAGGGUGCGUAGGCGGAAUAUCAAGUCAGCGGUAAAAAUUCGGGGCUCAACCCCGUCGUGCCGUUGAAACUGAGGUUCUUGAGUGGGCGAGAAGUAUGCGGAAUGCGUGGUGUAGCGGUGAAAUGCAUAGAUAUCACGCAGAACUCCGAUUGCGAAGGCAGCAUACCGGCGCCCAACUGACGCUGAAGCACGAAAGCGUGGGUAUCGAACAGGAUUAGAUACCCUGGUAGUC